rnacentral:rRNA from 1 species
UACGUAGGUGGCAAGCGUUGUCCGGAUGUACUGGGCGUAAAGAGCGCGCAGGCGGUCGUGCAAGUCGCGUGUGAAAGCCCCCGGCUCAACUGGGGAGGGUCACGCGAUACUGCUCGACUCGAAGGCAGGAGAGGGAAGUGGAAUUCCCGGUGUAGUGGUGAAAUGCGUAGAUAUCGGGAGGAACACCAGUGGCGAAGGCGACUUCCUGGCCUGUUCUUGACGCUGAGGCGCGAAAGCUAGGGUAGCAAACGGG